rnacentral:rRNA from 1 species
CCCUUAGAUGUCCUGGGCUGCACGCGCGCUACACUGAUGUGUCCAGUAAGCACCUAACCUAUUCCGAGAGGAGCGGGUAACCUUAGCAAAGCACAUCGUGAUGGGGAUAGAUUAUUGCAAUUAUUAGUCUUGAACGAGGAAUUCCUAGUAAGCACAAGUCAUCAGCUUGUGUUGAUUACGUCCCUGCCCUUUGUACACACCGCCCGUCGCUCCUACCGAUUGAAUGUUCCGGUGAGCUCUUCGGACUGCGCGGUCUGCAGUUUCUGCGUUCCGUGCGGAAAGUUGUGCAAAUCUUAACAUUUAGAGGAAGGAGAAGUCGUAACA